rnacentral:rRNA from 1 species
GACGAACGCUGGCGGCGUGCUUAACACAUGCAAGUCGAACGGAAAGGCCCUGCUUUUGUGGGGUGCUCGAGUGGCGAACGGGUGAGUAACACGUGAGUAACCUGCCCUUGACUUUGGGAUAACUUCAGGAAACUGGGGCUAAUACCGGAUAGGAGCUCCUGCUGCAUGGUGGGGGUUGGACAGUUUCGGCGGUUGGGGAUGGACUCGCGGCUUAUCAGCUUGUUGGUUGGGUAGUGGCUUACCAAGGCUUUGACGGGUAGCCGGCCUGAGAGGGUGACCGGCCACAUUGGGACUGAGAUACGGCCCAGACUCCUACGGGAGGCAGCAGUGGGGAAUAUUGCACAAUGGGCGGAAGCCUGAUGCAGCAACGCCGCGUGCGGGAUGACGGCCUUCGGGUUGUAAACCGCUGUCGCCUGUGACGAAGCGUGAGUGACGGUAAUGGGUAAAGAAGCACCGGCUAACUACGUG